rnacentral:Y_RNA from 1 species
GGCUGGUCCGAUGGCAGUGGGUUAUCAGAACUUAUUAACAUUAGUGUCACUAAAGUUGGUAUACCACCCCCUACUGCUAAAUUUGACUGGCUUUAA